AGCGAACGCUGGCGGCAGGCCUAACACAUGCAAGUCGAACGGAUCCUUCGGGAUUAGUGGCGGACGGGUGAGUAACACGUGGGAACGUGCACUUGGGUUCGGAACAACUCAGGGAAACUUGAGCUAAUACCGGAUGUGCCCUUCGGGGGAAAGAUCUAUCGCCAUUGGAGCGGCCCGUGUCUGAUUAGCUAGUUGGGGAGGUAACGGCGCACCAAGGCGACGAUCAGUAGCUGGUCUGAGAGGAUGCUCAGCCACGCUGGGACUGCGACACGGCCCAGACCCCUACGGGGGGCAGCAGUGGGGAAUCUUGCGCGCUGAGCGCAGGCCUGACGCAGCCGUGCCGCGUGAAUGAUGAAGGUCUUAGGAUUGUAAAAUUCUUUCAGCGGGGACGAUAAUGACGGUACCCGCAGAAGAAGCUCCGGCUAACUUCGUG
rnacentral:rRNA from 1 species